CUUCCUGUUGAAGAACCUCAUGUUGUCGGGUAGUUAAUUCUCUCCCUCGCUGCUCUCUGAAUAGUAAAGACGUUGGUCAUGUUGUCUCGUGUUUUUCUCCCUCGUGUAGUUUCAUCGUCACAACAGGCUGAACAAACGAACGCCGUGGCGUUUUGUCAUUAUUUGCAAGAGCAGGAAAUGAUGAGAGCGGAGACACAGCUGGACAGCAAGGCGCUGUUUAGCGGACUAAAGACCUGGAACAGGCCAAACUUCCGGUCGUAGACUCCCAACUCCAAGACGCCAUGAUGGCGCUGAUGCCAUGUGGAAGUGAAGCUUGUUGACCACAGAAGCUGGUUAAAAUGCGCCAAUUUCAAAGUAGUCGCAGGACAGGCUCUCCCCAGCAUAUGAAGUGGUGAGUACGUCUUCUGAAUAUAUUUUG